GCUCUUGCCCUUCUGCUGACCAGUGGUUCUGCCCUUAAAUGUCACAAGUGUACUCCUGAUGGAAAAUGUUCUAUUGUAACCUGUACCAGUGGUCAAGACACCUGUGUUGCCACAAGGGUGUUUACCCCCAGUGGUUCAUUUGUUGGAAAGAGAUGCUUAACACGGGCUCAGUGUUUGCAGUUGCAGAAAACUAACAAAUUUCCUGUUGCAUGCUGUGGGACGGACCUUUGCAAUAAAAUUGUUCCA